GAGUGAACGCUGGCGGUAGGCCUAACACAUGCAAGUCGAACGGCAGCACAGUAAGAGCUUGCUCUUACGGGUGGCGAGUGGCGGACGGGUGAGGAAUACAUCGGAAUCUACUUUUUCGUGGGGGAUAACGUAGGGAAACUUACGCUAAUACCGCAUACGACCUACGGGUGAAAGCAGGGGAUCUUCGGACCUUGCGCGAUUGAAUGAGCCGAUGUCGGAUUAGCUAGUUGGCGGGGUAAAGGCCCACCAAGGCGACGAUCCGUAGCUGGUCUGAGAGGAUGAUCAGCCACACUGGAACUGAGACACGGUCCAGACUCCUACGGGAGGCAGCAGUGGGGAAUAUUGGACAAUGGGCGCAAGCCUGAUCCAGCCAUACCGCGUGGGUGAAGAAGGCCUUCGGGUUGUAAAGCCCUUUUGUUAGGAAUGAAAAGCAGCAGGUUAAUACCCCGCUGUUCUGACGGUACCCAAAGAAUAAGCACCGGCUAACUUCGU
rnacentral:rRNA from 1 species